rnacentral:rRNA from 1 species
CUGGCGGCAGGCCUAACACAUGCAAGUCGAGCGCUCACUUCGGUGGGAGCGGCGGACGGGUUAGUAACGCGUGGGAAUAUGCCCGGUACUAAGGAAUAGCCUUUGGAAACGAAGAGUAAUACCUUAUACGCCCUUCGGGGGAAAGAUUUAUCGGUAUCGGAUUAGCCCGCGUAAGAUUAGAUAGUUGGUGGGGUAAUGGCCUACCAAGUCUACGAUCUUUAGCUGGUUUUAGAGGAUGAUCAGCAACACUGGGACUGAGACACGGCCCAGACUCCUACGGGAGGCAGCAGUGGGGAAUCUUAGACAAUGGGCGCAAGCCUGAUCUAGCCAUGCCGCGUGAGUGAAGAAGGCCUUAGGGUCGUAAAACUCUUUCGCCAGAGAUGAUAAUGACAGUAUCUGGUAAAGAAACCCCGGCUAACUCCGUGCCAGCAGCCGCGGUAAUACGGAGGGGGUUAGCGUUGUUCGGAAUUACUGGGCGUAAAGCGCACGUAGGCGGACUGGAAAGUUGGGGGUGAAAUCCCGGGGCUCAACCUCGGAACUGCCUCCAAAACUAUCAGUCUAGAGUUCGAGAGAGGUGAGUGGAAUUCCAAGUGUAGAGGUGAAAUUCGUAGAUAUUUGGAGGAACACCAGUGGCGAAGGCGGCUCACUGGCUCGAUACUGACGCUGAGUGCGAAAGUGUGGGGAGCAAACAGGAUUAGAUACCCUGGUAGUCCACACCGUAAACGAUGAAUGCC